rnacentral:rRNA from 1 species
GACGAACGCUGGCGGCGUGCUUAACACAUGCAAGUCGAACGAUGAAACCUAGCUUGCUAGGUCGAUUAGUGGCGAACGGGUGAGUAACACGUGACUAACCUGCCCCUUUCUCUGGGAUAACGCUUCGAAAGGAGUGCUAAUACCGGAUACUCACAUCGAGGCACAUGCCUUGAUGUGGAAAGUUUUUCGGAAAGGGAUGGAGUCGCGGCCUAUCAGCUUGUUGGUGAGGUAACGGCUCACCGGGGCGACGACGGGUAGCCGGCCUGAGAGGGCGACCGGCCACAAUGGGACUGAGACACGGCCCAGACUACCACGGGAGGGAGCAGUGGGGAAUAUUGCACAAGGGGCGCAAGCCUGAUGCAGCGACGCCGCGUGAGGGAUGAAGGUCUUCGGAUUGUAAACCUCUUUCAGUAGGGACGAAGCGAAAGUGACGGUACCUAAAGAAGAAGCACCGGCUAACUACGUGCCAGCCGCCGCAGUAA